UACGAAGGGUGCGAGCGUUAUUCGGAAUGACUGGGCGUAAAGAGCGUACAGGCGGCUUGUUAAGUCAGUUGUUAAAGCACCCAGCUUAACUGGGUAUCUGCAAUUGAAACUGGCGAGCUAGAGUGCAGGAGAGAAAGGUAGAAUUCUCGGAGUAGCGGUAAAAUGCGUAGAUCUCGAGAGGAGUACCGGUUGCGAAGGCGGCCUUUUGGUCUGUUACUGACGCUAAAGCGCGAAAGCGUGGGGAGCAAACAGG
rnacentral:rRNA from 1 species